AGAGUUUGAUCCUGGCUCAGAACGAACGCUGGCGGCGUGGAUAAGACAUGCAAGUCGAACGAGUUUAAUUUUGGAGUAAUCUGGGAUUGAGCUAGUGGCGAACGGGUGCGUAACACGUGAGUGAUCUACCUGAAAGUGGGGGAUAGCUCGUCGAAAGGCGAAUUAAUACCGCAUGUGACCCGAAGCAAUUCGGGUUAAAGCCGGGGCAACCUGGCGCUUUUAGAGGAACUCGCGGCCUAUCAGCUUGUUGGCGAGGUAAUGGCUCACCAAGGCUUCGACGGGUAGCUGGUCUGAGAGGACGACCAGCCACACUGGAACUGAGACACGGUCCAGACACCUACGGGUGGCAGCAGUCGAGAAUUUUUCUCAAUGGGGGAAACCCUGAAGGAGCGACGCCGCGUGGAGGAUGAAGGCUUUCGGGUUGUAAACUCCUGUCAUUUGGGAACAAGGCCUUACGUUAACUGCGUGGAGGUUCGAUAGUACCGAAAGAGGAAGAGACGGCUAACUCUGUGCCAGCAGCCGCGGUAAUACAGAGGUCUCAAGCGUUGUUCGGAUUUACUGGGCGUAAAGGGCGCGUAGGCGGCGGGGUAAGUCGGGUGUGAAAUCUCAGGGCUCAACCCUGAAACUGCACUUGAUACUGCUCUGCUUGAGGACUGGAGAGGAGACUGGAAUUCACGGUGUAGCAGUGAAAUGCGUAGAUAUCGUGAGGAAGACCAGUGGCGAAGGCGGGUCUCUGGACAGUUCCUGACGCUGAGGCGCGAAGGCCAGGGGAGCAAACGGGAUUAGAUACCCCCGUAGUCC
rnacentral:rRNA from 1 species